GCGGACUGCUCAGUAACACGUGGAUAACCUGCCCUAAGGUGGAGGAUAACCCCGGGAAACUGGGGAUAAUACUCCAUAGGUUAAAGGUACUGGAAUGUUCUUUAACCGAAAGUUCCGGCGCCUUAGGAUGGAUCUGCGGCCGAUUAGGUUGUUGUUGGGGUAGUGGCCCAACAAGCCUGUAAUCGGUACGGGUUGUGGGAGCAAGAGCCCGGAGAUGGAAUCUGAGACACGAUUCCAGGCCCUACGGGGCGCAGCAGGCGCGAAAACUUUACAAUGCAGGAAACUGUGAUAAGGGAACCCCGAGUGCCCGUAUAUGCGGGCUGUCCGGAUGUUUAAAACGCAUCCGAAGAAAGGGCCGGGCAAGACCGGUGCCAGCCGCCGCGGUAAUACCGGCGGCUCGAGUGGUGGCCACUUUUAUUGGGCUUAAAGCGUUCGUAGCUUGAAUAAUAAGUCUCUUGGGAAAUCUGCAGGCUUAACCUGCAGGCGUUUAAGAGAAACUGUUGUUCUUGGAACCGGAAGAGGUGAGAGGUACUCCGGGGGUAGGAGUGAAAUCCUGUAAUCCCCGGGGGACCACCGAUGGCGAAGGCAUCUCACCAGGAC
rnacentral:rRNA from 1 species